rnacentral:rRNA from 1 species
ACUCAAAUGAAUAGACGGGGGCCCGCACAAGCAGCGGAGCAUGUGGUUUAAUUCGAAGCAACGCGAAGAACCUUACCUAGACUUGACAUCUCCUGAAUUACCGGUAAUGCGGGAAGCCCUUCGGGGCAGGAAGACAGGUGGUGCAUGGUUGUCGUCAGCUCGUGUCGUGAGAUGUUGGGUUAAGUCCCGCAACGAGCGCAACCCUUAUCAUUAGUUGCUACCAUUAAGUUGAGCACUCUAGUGAGACUGCCCGGGUUAACCGGGAGGAAGGUGGGGAUGACGUCAAAUCAUCAUGCCCCUUAUGUCUAGGGCUACACACGUGCUACAAUGGGCAGUACAAUGAGAUGCAAACCCGUGAGGGGGAGCCAAACUAUAAAACUGUUCCCAGUUCGGAUUGUAGGCUGAAACUCGCCUACAUGAAGCCGGAGUUGCUAGUAAUCGCGAAUCAGCAUGUCGCGGUGAAUACGUUCCCGGGCCUUGUACACACCGCCCGU